CCUACGGGUGGCAGCAGUGGGGAAUAUUGCACAAUGGGGGAAACCCUGAUGCAGCGACGCCGCGUGAGUGAAGAAGUAAUUCGUUAUGUAAAGCUCUAUCAGCAGGGAAGAAAAUGACGGUACCUGAGUAAGAAGCCCCGGCUAACUACGUGCCAGCCGCCGCGGUAAUACGUAGGGGGCAAGCGUUAUCCGGAUUUACUGGGUGGAAAGGGAGCGUAGAGGGCAGUGCAAGUCUGGAGUGAAAGGCGGGGGCUCAACCCCCGGACUGCUCUGGAAACUGUACGGCUGGAGUGCAGGAGAGGUAAGUGGAAUGCCUAGUGUAGCGGUGAAAUGCGUAGAUAUUAGGAGGAACACCAGUGGCGAAGGCGGCUUACUGGACUGUAACUGACGUUGAGGCUCGAAAGCGUGGGGAGCAAACAGGAUUAGAUACCCCUGUAGUC
rnacentral:rRNA from 1 species